ensembl:lncRNA
GUAGCUGUGGUUGUUGAAUGAGCAACUGUGGUAGUUAUGACGCCUGCUGUGGUGACUGUGGCGGCACCUGUGGUUGUUGUGGGAAAAACUGUGGUUGUUGUGACACCAUUUGUUGUUGUAGUUGGAGCAUCUGUGGUUGUUGUGGGAGAAACUGUGGAUGAUGUGACUCCAUUUGUGGUUGUAGUUGGAGCAUCUGUGGUUGUAAUGACAGGAGCUGUGGUUGUAGUAGGAGCAGAAGUGGUUGUGGUGGCAGCUCCUGUGAUUGUGGUGGUUGCUGCUGUUGAUGUUGUCGAAGCAGCUAUGGUUGUUGUGACUGGAAUUGUGGUAGUCGUCAUGCCAGCUGUGGUGGUCGUGGGGUCAGCUGUGGUUGUGGUUGCAGAAGUAGUUGUGGUUGUAGUUGGAGCAGCUGUGGUUGUUGAAUGAGCAACUGUGGUAGUUGUGAUGCCUGCUGUGGUUGUGGUGGCAGCACCUGUGGUUGUGGUGGCAGCACCUGUGGUUGUUGUGGGAGAAACUGUGGAUGUUGUGGGGGCAUUCGUUGUUGGGCUUUGGGCAUUCCCUGAUGCUGUUGCAAAUGAAAAAGCAUAGAUUUUAGAACAUCUUUUAGAAUUUCGUAAUGAUCUACAAUUUAAAGACUAG